rnacentral:rRNA from 1 species
ACGCUGGCGGCAGGCCUAACACAUGCAAGUCGAGCGGUAGAGAGAAGCUUGCUUCUCUUGAGAGCGGCGGACGGGUGAGUAAUGCCUAGGAAUCUGCCUGGUAGUGGGGGAUAACGUUCGGAAACGGACGCUAAUACCGCAUACGUCCUACGGGAGAAAGCAGGGGACCUUCGGGCCUUGCGCUAUCAGAUGAGCCUAGGUCGGAUUAGCUAGUUGGUGAGGUAAUGGCUCACCAAGGCGACGAUCCGUAACUGGUCUGAGAGGAUGAUCAGUCACACUGGAACUGAGACACGGUCCAGACUCCUACGGGAGGCAGCAGUGGGGAAUAUUGGACAAUGGGCGAAAGCCUGAUCCAGCCAUGCCGCGUGUGUGAAGAAGGUCUUCGGAUUGUAAAGCACUUUAAGUUGGGAGGAAGGGUUGUAGAUUAAUACUCUGCAAUUUUGACGUUACCGACAGAAUAAGCACCGGCUAACUCUGUGCCAGCAGCCGCGGUAAUACAGAGGGUGCAAGCGUUAAUCGGAAUUACUGGGCGUAAAGCGCGCGUAGGUGGUUUGUUAAGUUGGAUGUGAAAUCCCCGGGCUCAACCUGGGAACUGCAUUCAAAACUGACUGACUAGAGUAUGGUAGAGGGUGGUGGAAUUUCCUGUGUAGCGGUGAAAUGCGUAGAUAUAGGAAGGAACACCAGUGGCGAAGGCGACCACCUGGACUAAUACUGACACUGAGGUGCGAAAGCGUGGGGAGCAAACAGGAUUAGAUACCCUGGUAGUCCACGCCGUAAACGAUGUCAACUAGCCGUUGGAAGCCUUGAGCUUUUAGUGGCGCAGCUAACGCAUUAAGUUGACCGCCUGGGGAGUACGGCCGCAAGGUUAAAACUCAAAUGAAUUGACGGGGGCCCGCACAA